GAUGAACGCUGGCGGCGUGCCUAAUACAUGCAAGUCGAGCGAACGGACGCGAAGCUUGCUUUUCUGAUGUUAGCGGCGGACGGGUGAGUAACACGUGGAUAACCUACCUAUAAGACUGGGAUAACUUCGGGAAACCGGAGCUAAUACCGGAUAAUAUUUUGAACCGCAUGGUUCAAAAGUGAAAGACGGUCUUGCUGUCACUUAUAGAUGGAUCCGCGCUGCAUUAGCUAGUUGGUAAGGUAACGGCUUACCAAGGCAACGAUGCAUAGCCGACCUGAGAGAGGGAUCGGCCACACUGGAACGGAGACAGGGUCCAGACUACUGCGGGAGGCAGCAGUAGGGAAUCUUCCGCAAUGGACGAAAGCCUGACGGAGCAACGCCGCGUGAGUGAUGAAGGUCUUCGGAUCGUAAAACUCUGUUAUUAGGGAAGAACAUAUGUGUAAGUAACUGUGCACAUCUUGACGGUACCUAAUCAGAAAGCCACGGCUAACUACGUG
rnacentral:rRNA from 1 species